rnacentral:rRNA from 1 species
CGCACCCUUCGGGGUGAGUGGCGGACGGGUGAGUAGCGCGUGGGAACCUGCCCCGAGCACCGGGACAACCGCGGGAAACUGCGGCUAAUACCGGAUGAUGCCAUCCGCGAGGGUGGCCAAAGUCCUGAUCUUCGGAUUGGGGCGGCGUGGGAGGGGCCCGCGUCCGAUUAGCUGGUUGGUGGGGUAACGGCCCACCAAGGCUGUGAUCGGUAGCUGGUCUGAGAGGACGAUCAGCCACACUGGGACUGAGACACGGCCCAGACUCCUACGGGAGGCAGCAGUGGGGAAUCUUGGACAAUGGGGGCAACCCUGAUCCAGCGACGCCGCGUGGGUGAUGAAGGCCUUCGGG